GGAGUUUGGGCCGUGUCUCAGUCCCAAUGUGGCCGUUCACCCUCUCAGGCCGGCUACUGAUCGUCGACUUGGUGAGCCGUUACCUCACCAACUAUCUAAUCAGACGCGGGUCCAUCUUACACCGAUAAAUCUUUUCACACUAUAUCAUGCGAUACCGUGCGCUUAUGCGGUAUUAGCAGUCGUUUCCAACUGUUGUCCCCCUGUGUAAGGCAGGUUACCCACGCGUUACUCACCCGUUCGCAACUCUUCCAACUUUAGCAAGCUAAAGUCUUCAGCGUUCUACUUGCAUGUAUUAGGCACGCCGCCAGCGUUCGUC
rnacentral:rRNA from 1 species